rnacentral:lncRNA from 1 species
GGGGGCCGGGGUGCGGGGCAGCCGGGGCUUCCUUGGCUUGGAAACGCGACUCCCGCGGUUCGGUCGUCAUUACGGUGCAGAAACGUGAACGUGGCUUUUUGCUUUUCUACUGAUGGGCUGUUGGUUUGGAUUAGAGAAUGACAAGAGAGAUUUCGCGGUGGGUAAACUUCAGUUCCGAAGGAAAUUUUGGAGACUUGUUUGCUCACCGCUCAGUGGCCGGGAGAACCCUUGGCGCGGGUUGGAGGUUGCCCCGAAAAGGGGCAAUUUGAAAUCAGCUCCACGAGGGAUUUCAGAUAAAUGAAAAUGUAAUUAUUGGGUCAGAAUGUCGCAAUCCUAAUGCCUUUCGGAGACGCACUGUCCCUGGGCCACCUAAACUUCCCGCAGCAGCCGGAAUUGCGGUGCCACUAAUCACAGCAGCAGAUGACGACGUUUGGGGCCUCUUGUGCUUGCGGAGGAACGCGGCGAGGAGAGAGCGGGGGUAGGGA